rnacentral:rRNA from 1 species
ACGCUCGACACCUACGGAGGCAGCAGUGGGGAAUAUUGCACAAUGGGGGAAACCCUGAUGCAGCGACGCCGCGUGAGCGAAGAAGUAUUUCGGUAUGUAAAGCUCUAUCGGCAGGGAAGAAACUGACGGUACCUGACUAAGAAGCACCGGCUAAAUACGUGUCAGCAGCCGCGGUAAUCUGAGCGGGCUGGCAAGGC